rnacentral:tRNA from 1 species
GCGAAAAUAUCUUAAUGGUAAAGAUUCACCUUGCCAUGGUGAAAGCUACGAGUUCGAAUCUCGUUUUUCGCU